CGUCUCCGCAUCCCGCGGGCGGCUUCCGGUCGGACUCACCGCUGCCUCCACGGUACUCCCCCCAGCGCGCGGCCCCCGGGGCGGGGGGACUGGAGUGGCCAGGCCCAGCAUCCCCGCGGGGAGAGGCCACGGCCUUCGGGUGUCCGUCUCCGCCCGUGGCGGGGGUCUGGUAGCGGGACAGCUAUGCAGCCGCAGGGGUUGACUGCCCGUCCGUUUUUAACCUCUUUGGGCAGACUUUUAAAGAGGGAAAGGAUCCUGAGCGGUGUCCCAUGCUGGUUCCUUCUGUGUGUAACUAGAUCCUUUUGUUCAUUUAUCUUUCAGACCCUCAGUACGCGCUACCGAGUGAGAAGGGCCAUUCAAAGGCAAAUGCCCACGUUCAGCUUGUCAGUGAGAAGUUGGUAA
rnacentral:lncRNA from 1 species